UGAAUAUGUUUGCAACAUGUUCACUAUUCGUUGAUACAUUCACAGCUUGCUUCUCGCUAUUGGUUUGACGAAAGGAAACUGACAAAUAGAAGUUCUUAUUUUUUCAAUUAUCUCAUAUCUAUGCUACAACAUAACCAUUAGCACAACUAGAUCAUUUACUAUUGGCUAGAUGAUGGGAAACUCUACAAAAGAAUUUCAAGAUUUGGUACUUUUUAUAGAUAUUAUAUUUUGAAAUCAAAACGUUAAAAAUUAUUUUAUAAAUGAAAUAAAUAAUAUGAAAUAUAAAUAAAUUUUCUUUA
rnacentral:lncRNA from 1 species